GAUGAACGCUGACAGCAUGCUUAACACAUGCCAGUCGAUUGGGAAGUGGUGCUUGCACCAUGGUAACCAUGGCGGACGGGUGAGUAACGCGUAAGGAACUUGCCUGCGGGACUUGGAUAACAGCUUUAAACUGCUGAUAAUACCGGAUAAGGUCAUUAAGCUGCAUAGCUUAGUGAUGAAAGGUGACGCCUGCGGAGAGCCUUGGGUCAUAUUUGCUAGUUGGAGGGGUAACGGCCCACCAAGGCGAAGUUAGGCAGCCGGCCUGAGAGGGUGGACGGCCACAAGGGGACGGAGAAGCGGCCCAUACUACUACGGGAGGCAGCAGUGGGGAAUAUUGGACAAUGGGGGCAACCCUGAUCCAGCAAUUCUGUGUGCACGAAGACGGUUUUCGGAUUGUAAAGUGCUUUCAGCAGAGAAGAAGGAAGUGACGGUACCUGCAGAAGAAGCGACGGCUAAAUACGUG
rnacentral:rRNA from 1 species